GUUAAGCGACUAAGCGUACACGGUGGAUGCCCUGGCAGUCAGAGGCGAUGAAGGACGUGCUAAUCUGCGAAAAGCGCCGGCGAGGUGAUAUGAACCCUUGACCCGGCGAUGUCCGAAUGGGGAAACCCAGUGUGAUUCGUCACACUAUCGUUAACUGAAUACAUAGGUUAACGAGGCGAACCGGGGGAACUGAAACAUCUAAGUACCCCGAGGAAAAGAAAUCAACCGAGAUUCCCCCAGUAGCGGCGAGCGAACGGGGAGCAGCCCAGAGUCUGAAUCAGCUUGUGUGUUAGUGGAAGCGUCUGGAAAGUCGCACGGUACAGGGUGAUAGUCCCGUACACGAAAGCACACAGGCUGUGAACUCGAAGAGUAGGGCGGGACACGUGGUAUCCUGUCUGAAUAUGGGGGGACCAUCCUCCAAGGCUAAAUACUCCUGACUGACCGAUAGUGAACCAGUACCGUGAGGGAAAGGCGAAAAGAACCCCGGCGAGGGGAGUGAAAAAGAACCUGAAACCGUGUACGUACAAGCAGUGGGAGCACCUUCGUGGUGUGACUGCGUACCUUUUGUAUAAUGGGUCAGCGACUUAUAUUCUGUAGCAAGGUUAACCGUAUAGGGGAGCCGAAGGGAAACCGAGUCUUAACUGGGCGUUAAGUUGCAGGGUAUAGACCCGAAACCCGGUGAUCUAGCCAUGGGCAGGUUGAAGGUUGGGUAACACUAACUGGAGGACCGAACCGACUAAUGUUGAAAAAUUAGCGGAUGACCUGUGGCUGGGGGUGAAAGGCCAAUCAAACCGGGAGAUAGCUGGUUCUCCCCGAAAGCUAUUUAGGUAGCGCCUCGUGAACUCAUCUUCGGGGGUAGAGCACUGUUUCGGCUAGGGGGCCAUCCCGGCUUACCAACCCGAUGCAAACUACGAAUACCGAAGAAUGUUAUCACGGGAGACACACGGCGGGUGCUAACGUCCGUCGUGAAGAGGGAAACAACCCAGACCGCCAGCUAAGGUCCCAAAGUCAUGGUUAAGUGGGAAACGAUGUGGGAAGGCCCAGACAGCCAGGAUGUUGGCUUAGAAGCAGCCAUCAUUUAAAGAAAGCGUAAUAGCUCACUGGUCGAGUCGGCCUGCGCGGAAGAUGUAACGGGGCUAAACCAUGCACCGAAGCUGCGGCAGCGACGCUUAUGCGUUGUUGGGUAGGGGAGCGUUCUGUAAGCCGUUGAAGGUGGCCUGUGAGGGUUGCUGGAGGUAUCAGAAGUGCGAAUGCUGACAUAAGUAACGAUAAAGCGGGUGAAAAGCCCGCUCGCCGGAAGACCAAGGGUUCCUGUCCAACGUUAAUCGGGGCAGGGUGAGUCGACCCCUAAGGCGAGGCCGAAAGGCGUAGUCGAUGGGAAACAGGUUAAUAUUCCUGUACUUGGUGUUACUGCGAAGGGGGGACGGAGAAGGCUAUGUUAGCCGGGCGACGGUUGUCCCGGUUUAAGCAUGUAGGCGGAGGUUCCAGGUAAAUCCGGUACCUUUUAACGCUGAGGUGUGAUGACGAGGCACUACGGUGCUGAAGUAACAAAUGCCCUGCUUCCAGGAAAAGCCUCUAAGCAUCAGGUAACACGAAAUCGUACCCCAAACCGACACAGGUGGUCAGGUAGAGAAUACCAAGGCGCUUGAGAGAACUCGGGUGAAGGAACUAGGCAAAAUGGUGCCGUAACUUCGGGAGAAGGCACGCUGAUAUGUAGGUGAAGCCCCUGCGGGUGGAGCUGAAAUCAGUCGAAGAUACCAGCUGGCUGCAACUGUUUAUUAAAAACACAGCACUGUGCAAACACGAAAGUGGACGUAUACGGUGUGACGCCUGCCCGGUGCCGGAAGGUUAAUUGAUGGGGUUAGCGGCAACGCGAAGCUCUUGAUCGAAGCCCCGGUAAACGGCGGCCGUAACUAUAACGGUCCUAAGGUAGCGAAAUUCCUUGUCGGGUAAGUUCCGACCUGCACGAAUGGCGUAAUGAUGGCCAGGCUGUCUCCACCCGAGACUCAGUGAAAUUGAACUCGCUGUGAAGAUGCAGUGUACCCGCGGCAAGACGGAAAGACCCCGUGAACCUUUACUAUAGCUUGACACUGAACACUGGUCCUUGAUGUGUAGGAUAGGUGGGAGGCUUUGAAGCGUGGACGCCAGUCUGCGUGGAGCCGUCCUUGAAAUACCACCCUUUAAUGGCUGGUGUUCUAACGUAGACCCGUAAUCCGGGUUGCGGACAGUGUCUGGUGGGUAGUUUGACUGGGGCGGUCUCCUCCCAAAGAGUAACGGAGGAGCACGAAGGUUAGCUAAUCCUGGUCGGACAUCAGGAGGUUAGUGCAAUGGCAUAAGCUAGCUUGACUGCGAGAGUGACGGCUCGAGCAGGUGCGAAAGCAGGUCAUAGUGAUCCGGUGGUUCUGAAUGGAAGGGCCAUCGCUCAACGGAUAAAAGGUACUCCGGGGAUAACAGGCUGAUACCGCCCAAGAGUUCAUAUCGACGGCGGUGUUUGGCACCUCGAUGUCGGCUCAUCACAUCCUGGGGCUGAAGUAGGUCCCAAGGGUAUGGCUGUUCGCCAUUUAAAGUGGUACGCGAGCUGGGUUUAGAACGUCGUGAGACAGUUCGGUCCCUAUCUGCCGUGGGCGCUGGAGAAUUGAGGGGGGCUGCUCCUAGUACGAGAGGACCGGAGUGGACGCAUCACUGGUGUUCGGGUUGUCAUGCCAAUGGCACUGCCCGGUAGCUAAAUGCGGAAGAGAUAAGUGCUGAAAGCAUCUAAGCACGAAACUUGCCCCGAGAUGAGUUCUCCCUGACUCCUUGAGAGUCCUGAAGGAACGUUGAAGACGACGACGUUGAUAGGUCGGGUGUGUAAGCGCAGCGAUGCGUUGAGCUAACCGAUACUAAUGAACCGUGAGGCUUAACC
rnacentral:rRNA from 1 species